rnacentral:rRNA from 1 species
GAUGAACGCUGGCGGCGUGCCUAAUACAUGCAAGUCGAGCGAACGGACGAGAAGCUUGCUUCUCUGAUGUUAGCGGCGGACGGGUGAGUAACACGUGGAUAACCUACCUAUAAGACUGGGAUAACUUCGGGAAACCGUAGCUAAUACCGGAUAAUAUUUUGAACCGCAUGGUUCAAAAGUGAAAGACGGUCUUGCUGUCACUUAUAGAUGGAUCCGCGCUGCAUUAGCUAGUUGGUAAGGUAACGGCUUACCAAGGCAACGAUGCAUAGCCGACCUGAGAGGGUGAUCGGCCACACUGGAACUGAGACACGGUCCAGACUCCUACGGGAGGCAGCAGUAGGGAAUCUUCCGCAAUGGGCGAAAGCCUGACGGAGCCACGCCGCGUGAGUGAUCAAGGUCUUCGGAUCGUAAAACUCUGUUAUUAGGGAAGAACAUAUGUGUAAGUAACUGUGCACAUCUUGACGGUACCUAAUCAGAAAGCCACGGCUAACUACGUG